GGAUCGUCGAUCAGACUCCGGCAGUUGAAGGCGAGUCGACCGAGCAAUCAAGCAUCUCGAUAAUCCGUCUAUUCGACUCGCUCCAACCGAGGCACCGGAGCAGAGCUAAGAGGUCGCCAAAACUGUUCUAAGCAAGCGGAUGGGCUUCCUUUAGAUGUUAAUGUUUCCUUUCAAGUGGACAGUCCUCCAUUCAUCCCUACAGUAUCACUAAAUAUCCCUUUACCUACUCCUUCACCUCCCAUUCCAAACACUGCUGAGUCACCAUCCUUUAUUGACCAUCCCUCUCCUAUACACUCUCCCCCAUCCGCAUCUAGCUCUACUAUCUCUUCUCCACAUAUUACUCAAUCACUACUAAAUCCACCAUCUGUUUCACCAUGUCCAGCUCGCACAUAAAAGCCAAAUUCCAAAUACUAUAAUAAUAAAUUUGUGAAUCUCACCACCAAAUAUCAACUUCCUCCUCCACUUGAACCUACCAUUAUUACACAAGUAAUGAAAGAUCCUCUCUGGCGCAAUAUGGAUGCUGAAUUUAAUGCUUUGUUACACAAUGGAACUUGGAAAUUGGUUCCCAAAUCAUCUCAUGUUCCAAUUAGUUGCAAAUGGGUCUUCUGUAUCAAAUGAAAAUCUGAUGGUUCUAUUGACAAGUACAAAGCUCGUCUAGUGGCGAAGGGCUUUCUCCAAUAAGCAGGAAGAGAUUAUUUUGAAACCUUCAGCCCUGUUACAAAGCCUGUUACAAUACGCAUUAUUUUAUGUCUUGCCUUAUCUUAAAAUUGGCCUUUACGUCAAUUGGAUGUAAACAAUGCAUUUUUGCAUGGCAUAUUACAAGAAGAUGUCUACAUGAUGCAACCUCCUAAUUAUGUUCACCCUCAGUAUUCAAAUCACGUAUGCAAGCUUCAUAAUGCCUUAUAUGGCCUUAAAUAGGCUCCUCGGGCAUAAUACAAUGUACUCCAGCAUUUUCUACUUGCCUUUGGUUUUCGCAAAUUAUUUGCUGAUGCGUCCGUGUUUAUUUAUGACUGCAAUGAUAUCAAGCUUUAUUUUCUUAUUUUUGUUGAUGACAUCGUCCUCACGGGUAACAAUUCUAAAUUUCUUGAUGGCUUUGUUCACAAGUUAGGCAAUUAGUUUUCAAUUAAAGAUCUGGGUUGCCUGCAUUAUUUUUUAGGUGUUGAGGUUAUUUCUACUCCAUCGGGUCUAUUUCUUUGUCAACAUCGACAUAUUGAUGAUUUACUUGAUCGGUUUAACAUGGCCGGCGCUAAGGAAGUUGCCACCCCCAUGAGUUCUUCUAAAACUUAUUCUCUUAUUGAUGGUUCUUCCCAAGUUAAGUCCACUAACUACCGUCGCAUUGUUGGCUCUUUACAAUAUCUUGCAAUUACUCGCUUUGAUGUUUCAUUUGCUGUUAACAAAUUGUCUCAGUUUAUGCAUGCUCCAAUUCAACGAUAUCUACAAGCUUUAAAGCGUGUACUCAUAUAUUUAAAGGGUUCAAUUUAUCAUGUUUUAUUUCUCAAGAGGGACUAUUCUCAACAUCUCACAGCCUUCUGUGACUCUGACUGGGGUGGUACCCUUGAUAAUGGACGCUCAACUAUAGCGUAUAUGUUAUACUUGGGCUAUAAUAUCAUCUCUU